rnacentral:lncRNA from 1 species
CUGCCAUGUAAGACUUGCCUUGCUUCCCCUUUACCUUCUGCCAUGAUUAGGAAGCCAGCUGCCAUGUCAUGAGGACACUCCAGUGGCCCUAUGGAGGGGUCCUGCAAGUAAGGACCAGAGGCCUCCCUGUCAACCUGCCAGCAGGUGUGAGCCAUCUUGGAAGCAGAUUCUCCAGCCCAGAUCUUCAGAUGACCACAGGCCCAGGUGACCUCCUGACUGCAACCCCAAGCCACAACCAUGCAAUGAGCCACUCCCUCUUUCCUGCCUACCAUAAACUGUGUGAGAGAAUAAACUCAUUCAAGACACCAUCUUAGAAGCAGAGACUGGGCCCUCACCAGACACAAAACCUGCCAGUUCCUUGAUGUUGGACUUAUCAGAAUCCAGAACUGUGAGAAAUAAAUUGAUAAAUUACCCAAUUUGUGGUAUUUUGU